rnacentral:rRNA from 1 species
CCUACGGGAGGCAGCAGUGGGGGAUAUUGCACAAUGGGGGGAACCCUGAUGCAGCGACGCCGCGUGAGCGAUGGAGUACUUCGGUAUUUAAAGCUCUGUCAGCAGGGAAGAAAAUGACGGUACCUGACCAAGAUGCCCCGGCUAAAUACGUGCCAGCAGCCGCGGUAAUACGUAGGGGGCAAGCGUUAUCCGGAUUUACUGGGUGUAAAGGGAGCGUAGGUGGAUGGGCAAGACUGUAGUGAAAGGCGGGGGCGCAACCGCGGGACUGCAGUGGAAACUGGAAGGCUUGAGUGCAGGAGAGGCAGGCGGAAUUCGUGGUGUAGCGGUGAAAUGCGUAGAUAUUAGGAGGAACACCAGUGGCGAAGGCAGCCUACUGGACGGCAACUGACGCUGAGGCUCGAAAGCGUGGGGAGCAAACAGGAUUAGAUACCCGAGUAGUC